GGUUUGGAGACUCGAUGAAAGUACAGUAUAACUCAUUAACUAUGUUGGUUUCGGUUUAUGCAAGAAUUCGGGCCUAUCUCGUCACGUGUGUAUUGUAUUUUUUCCCGCACAACCAAUAGCAAUGUUUAAAUUGAGCAUUUGUUCAAGUUACGGAUGGAUAACUCAACCACAAACUUGUUAUUGGUUAUUUGAGCGAAAAUACAAUACACACGUGACGAGAUAGGAUCAAAUUCUUGCAUAAAGCUGGACAAUAACAUAGUUAAUGAGUUAUAUUGUACUUUCAUCGAGUCUCCAAACCAUCUAUUAAAAUAACUGUGAUUGAACUGGGCUGUUUCGACACUUAAGCCUGUUCUAAACGUCGCCUUUUACAUGCGCCGAAUGCAAUGGACGAG